AUUUUAAUUAAUUUUUUAAUAGUUUUUGAGGACUUUAACUUGUCAAUGAUAAAGCUAUGAAAAGUCAAGAGGGAACAUUUUCCCGCUAAAAUUUCAAUGGCUAAUAUAUCAAAACGAUCAUGGUGACCUUUUAUUUUUUUUGGCUCUUUUGAUUCCUUUAUUAAUCCCCUAUCAAUAUAAACUAGUCUUUUGAAAAGUUAAUUAUUUUGAAACAGAGAAGCGAACUCCCUUAAAAUAAUCUCUUUCUUUUUUAUCUCACUAAGUAACAAAAUAUAGGGCACUUACUUCCACAUUAAUAGAGCAUUUCCUUAACCCUUAAACUCACUUUCAUUCUUUACUUUAACCCAAACCCUCACCCUUAAUCUAACCCUUAAGGAAGUUUGCUGCUCAGUUUUAAAAUAAAUAACUUUCCAUAAAACUAGUAUAUAUUGAUAGGGGAUUAAUUGAGGAAUCAAAAUAGCAAAAAAAAUAUAGGGGUCAAGGUGCUUGUUUUCAAGAUAUAAGCCAUUGGAAUUUUGGUGGGAAAAUGUUCUCUUGAUUUUUCAUAGCUGUAUUAUUGACCAGUUAAAGUUCUCAAAAACUAUUAAAAAAUAGUUAGAUUUUAUAAGACUUUUACAAAUGGCUAAUUAUACAUGUAAAAGAUUUAUAAAAAGAAAAAUAGAGUUCCAUGGGCAAAACAUUUUAAUGGAUAAAACCAGAGGAUUUUGUUAAUCUGACAAAAAUUCCAAAACAUGACAAGCAAACAUCCUUCAUCAUAAUCCUUAAACUAGCUGCCCUAACCCUAACCUUACCACUAAUCCUGGAAACUUGUCAACCUAUGUAGGUAGACAAUUAUUUGUAAAAGUUAAUUUGUCGACCAACAAUUUUGUUAAUGUUAAGUUGUCGACCAACAAUUUUGUUAAUGUUAAGUUGUCGACCAAUGUAGACAAUUUUUAACCGGAUUUUUGUGACAAAAAUGUCGGUUAUUGAUUUGGGGAUGUACGGCGGGCGGGCGGCAAUCAAAUGUUGUCCAUGCAUUAACUCAUGAACUGUUCAACCAAAGCUUUUAAAAUUUUAAUAUGUUGUUACUGACAACUAAAUGAAGGUCAAGUUCAAUAAUGGCCAUUUUGACUUUUACCGUUCAGGAGUUAUGGUUCUUGAAAGAUUGAAAAAUGGAGUUUCCAGUCGUGUCCGUGCAUUUACGCAUGAACUGUUCUACUUAAGCUUCCCAAAUUUUAAUAUGUUGUUACUGAUGACAAAAUGGAGGUCAACUUCAAUAAUGACGAUUUUGACUUUUACCGUUCAGGAGUUAUGGUUCUUGAAAGAUUGAAAAAUGGUGUUUCCAGUCGUGUCCGUGCAUUUACGCAUGAACUGUUUUACCAAAGCUUCCCAAAUUUUAAUAUGUUGUUACUGAUGACAAAAUAGAGGUCAAGUUCAAUAAUGACGAUUUUGACUUUUACCGUUCAGGAGUUAUGGUUCUUGAAAGAUUUAAAAAUGGUGUUUCCAGUCGUGUCCGUGCAUUUUCUCAUGAACCAUUCAACCAAAGCUUUUGAAAUUUUUAUAUGUUGUUACUGAUGGCAAAUUAGAGGUCAAGUUCAAUAAUGACUGUUUUGACUUUUACCGUUCAGGAGUUAUGGUUCUUGAAAGAUUGUGAAAUGAUGUUUCCAUUCACGUUGUUGCAUUUACUCAUGAACCAUUCAAUCUAAGCUUUUCAAAUUUUAAGAUGUUGAUACUGAUGACAAAUGGAGGUCAAAUUUGAUAUUGACGAUUUUCACUUUCACCAUUCAUCAGUAAUGGUUCUUGUGAUAUUGCCAGGACACAAAUAAAUAUUAAUAAAUCCGGUUUGCUGUCGUUGUGACAGCCUCUUGUUUUAAAGUUAAAUUGUCUUCCUGUGAAUUUAAACAUUUUUUUCAAGAUUCUACUGUCAAUUUGACGACUGUAUCACAUAUUUAACAAAAGAAGAUAGUCUGCAAGGAACUACAUAUCUUUAUACUCCAGUUUAUCCAUUUAUUAAAAAUUCAAAUGACUAAAAAAUUCACAGAUUUUUGAUACAUUUGUUUUUAAUAAAAAUUGCUACACCAGUAUAGAUUUCACAA
rnacentral:lncRNA from 1 species